rnacentral:rRNA from 1 species
UACGUAGGGGGCAAGCGUUGUCCGGGUUCACUGGGCGUAAAGAGCUCGUAGGCGGCUUGGCAAGUCGGGUGUGAAACCUCCAGGCUCAACCUGGAGACGCCACCCGAUACUGCCAUGGCUAGAGUCCGGUAGGGGACCACGGAAUUCCUGGUGUAGCGGUGAAAUGCGCAGAUAUCAGGAGGAACACCGGUGGCGAAGGCGGUGGUCUGGGCCGGAACUGACGCUGAGGAGCGAAAGCGUGGGGAGCGAACAGG